UAGAACAAUCUAUCAAUCAUCCCUCCAUCCGGAUAACGGUUCGGGACUCAAAAUAAAUUCUGUAUGGAUUCCGUGCAGCUUUUUGUUGCUAUCAACAUUCGGUUAGUAUCGUUCAUUUACAAAGUUACAGCAGUAUAUAAUCAAUGACGGCGCCGGUAGUUGAGUGGUAAGCGUGGCCACCACUCGCCCCUCAAUCCCAGCCGAGGUCAUUAAGUUUUUUCUGAGGUGAAAAAAAUCUUGAAACAUUGAAGCAUCCAAAUGAAGAUAAAAAAUAAAAAUGCAUUGAAUACUGAUACCUCUACUUCUAUACUGGCGGAAGCGAUAAUAAUUAUUGUUCUUGGUCAUAUAAAUUUCGGUGAUAUAAACCAUGCUCUCUAUCAUGGGCAUUGUAUUACAGGAUCGGAACUCGAAUGCUGCGGUGGCAAGUAAUACGGCCGGUGGACAACAAGGAAUGCCCCCCGAUAGUGCGGAAUAUAGUCUAACCAACGUCUCAAUUAAACAUUUCAAAUGUCUCAUGACCUUACAUACAUGAACUGAAAAUCGACCAGGCCAAUCACAUACCCUUUCUCCAUGAGCCCAACAUAGUGACGAGGAAGAGUAAGGAUUCAAGUAUGGUGCCCAGUACAU